rnacentral:tRNA from 1 species
GAGGGUAUAGCUCAAGUGGUAGAGCACAUGCUUAGCAUGCAUGAGGUCCUGGGUUCAAUCCCCAGCGCCUCCU